rnacentral:RNase_P_RNA from 1 species
UUGUCGAGGAAAGUCCGGGCUGCACUGGGUAAGAAUGCCGGAUAACGUCCGGCGGGGGCGACCCCGGGAAAGUGCCACAGAGAGCAGACCGCCCUGCAUUGCAGGGUAAGGGUGAAAGGGUGCGGUAAGAGCGCACCGCUUCUUCCGGUAACGGAGGGAGGCAUGGUAAACCCCAUUCGCAGCAAGGCCAAAUAGGGAAGCGUUAGGCGUGGCCCGCGUCGCUUCCGGGUAGGCUGCUAGAGUGUGUCAGCAAUGGCAGACGCAGAUGAAUGAUCACCAUCCGCUAUGGCGGAUACAGAACCCGGCUUACAGGAUCGCUCCGCCU